rnacentral:rRNA from 1 species
GUGGGGAAUAUUGGACAAUGGGCGAAAGCCUGAUCCAGCCAUGCCGCGUGUGUGAAGAAGGUCUUCGGAUUGUAAAGCACUUUAAGUUGGGAGGAAGGGCAGUAAGUUAAUACCUUGCUGUUUUGACGUUACCAACAGAAUAAGCACCGGCUAACUUCGUGCCAGCAGCCGCGGUAAUACGAAGGGUGCAAGCGUUAAUCGGAAUUACUGGGCGUAAAGCGCGCGUAGGUGGUUCAGCAAGUUGAAGGUGAAAUCCCCGGGCUCAACCUGGGAACUGCCUCCAAAACUACUGAGCUAGAGUACGGUAGAGGGUAGUGGAAUUUCCUGUGUAGCGGUGAAAUGCGUAGAUAUAGGAAGGAACACCAGUGGCGAAGGCGACCACCUGGACUGAUACUGACACUGAGGUGCGAAAGCGUGGGGAGCAAACAGGAUUAGAAACCCUGGUAGUCC